AUUGAACGCUGGCGGCAGGCCUAACACAUGCAAGUCGAGCGGAUGAAGGGAGCUUGCUCCUGGAUUCAGCGGCGGACGGGUGAGUAAUGCCUAGGAAUCUGCCUGGUAGUGGGGGAUAACGUCCGGAAACGGGCGCUAAUACCGCAUACGUCCUGAGGGAGAAAGUGGGGGAUCUUCGGACCUCACGCUAUCAGAUGAGCCUAGGUCGGAUUAGCCAGUUGGUGGGGUAAAGGCCUACCAAGGCGACGAUCCGUAACUGGUCUGAGAGGAUGAUCAGUCACACUGGAACUGAAGCACGGUCCAGACUCCUACGGGGGGCAGCAGUGGGGAAUAUUGGACAAUGGGCGAAAGCCUAAUCCAGCCAUGCCGGGUGUGUGCAGAAGGUCUUCGGAUUGUAAAGCACUUUAAGUUGGGAGGAAGGGCAGUAAGUUAAUACCUUGCUGAUUUGACGUUACCAACAGAAUAAGCACCGGCUAACUUCGUG
rnacentral:rRNA from 1 species